USSUAUGUGAAUUGCAGAAUUCAGUGAAUCAUCAAAUCUUUGAACGCAUCUUGCACCAUUUGGUAUUCCAAAAGGUACAC
rnacentral:rRNA from 1 species